CAUUCCUGAAGAGGUGCAAACGCCAGGUAAGUUGUACGAGGUACCGAAACCGUUAAUGACAACUGAUGGGGCGAUUUGCCGAAAUCAUAACCGUGUCGGAAGCAGUUAUGGUUGGUAGUCCGGGCUGAAUCCCGUCUACUGUCACAUAAUCCAUGGGAAUGGGCUAUGUGGAGCGCUCCAGGUGAU
rnacentral:ncRNA from 2 species